CCUACGGGAGGCAGCAGUGGGGAAUAUUGCACAAUGGGCGCAAGCCUGAUGCAGCCAUGCCGCGUGUAUGAAGAAGGCCUUCGGGUUGUAAAGUACUUUCAGCGGGGAGGAAGGUGUUGUGGUUAAUAACCGCAGCAAUUGACGUUACCCGCAGAAGAAGCACCGGCUAACUCCGUGCCAGCAGCCGCGGUAAUACGGAGGGGGCAAGCGUUAAUCGGAAUUACUGGGCGUAAAGCGCACGCAGGCGGUCUGUCAAGUCGGAUGUGAAAUCCCCGGGCUCAACCUGGGAACUGCAUUCGAAACUGGCAGGCUAGAGUCUUGUAGAGGGGGGUAGAAUUCCAGGUGUAGCGGUGAAAUGCGUAGAGAUCUGGAGGAAUACCGGUGGCGAAGGCGGCCCCCUGGACAAAGACUGACGCUCAGUGCGAAAGCGUGGGGAGCC
rnacentral:rRNA from 1 species